AAAAUACAUUCUUCAAAUGAAAUCGGCAUGUUGCAAAAACAAAUUAUUUUGAGAAUCAAACUUUUUUAAGAACUUUCAACCACAUCUCAUUUAAAUUAGUUGAUGGUGCUCAGACUCAGUAAGUUAGCUCAUACUGAGACACUUCAUCAGCUCAUAGAGACCAUUACAUUUGGUUAAAAGCUUGAGAUUUUCCCCCGGACAUAUUUGAUAUUAAUUUUUAUUUAUUUAUUUUCUACAGAGCCCCCCACAUACAACAACAACACACACACACACACACACACACAAUAUAAACAGCUUUUAUGAAACUGUUGAUGGAAGAUUCAGCCACAGUGGAGAUGAUUUUAUGUUAUGUUAGUAAGUGAAGUGUGUGUGUGAGUCUCCUCCAGACUGGGACGGCCCACAGGGCAUCAGACCGUGUCCCUCGGUUGUAAAUAAAACUUGUCUUCCCCAACAA